rnacentral:rRNA from 1 species
CGUGUAGGCGGCUGGAUAAGUCAGAUGUGAAAGCCCUGGGCUUAACCCAGGAAGUGCAUUUGAAACUGUUCAGCUUGAGUAAGGGAGAGGAAAGUGGAAUUCCUGGUAUAGAGGUGAAAUUCGUAGAUAUCAGGAGGAACACCGGUGGCGAAGGCGACUUUCUGGCCCUAUACUGACGCUGAGACGCGAGAGCGUGGGUAGCAAACAG